ACACGAAUCCAGGCCCUACGGGGUGCAGCAGGCGCGAAAACUUUACAAUGCCGGCAACGGCGAUAAGGGGACCUCGAGUGCCAGGUUACAAAUCUGGCUGUCGUGAUGCCUAAAAAGCAUUGCAUAGCAAGGGCCGGGCAAGACCGGUGCCAGCCGCCGCGGUAACACCGGCGGCUCGAGUGGUAACCGUUAUUAUUGGGUCUAAAGGGUCUGUAGCCGGCCGGAUAAGUCUCUUGGGAAAUCCAGCAGCUCAACUGUUGGGCUUUCAGGAGAUACUGUUCGGCUCGAGGCCGGGAGAGGUGAGAGGUACUUCAGGGGUAGGGGUGAAAUCUUGUAAUCCUUGAAGGACCACCAGUGGCGAAGGCGUCUCACCAGAACGGACCUGACGGCAAGGGACGAAAGCUAGGGGCACGAACCGGAUUAGAUACCCGGGUAGUCCUAGCCGUAAACGAUACUCGCUAGGUGUCGGCCACGGUGCGACCGUUGUCGGUGCCGUAGGGAAGCCGUGAAGCGAGCCACCUGGGAAGUACGGCCGCAAGGCUGAAACUUAAAGGAAUUGGCGGGGGAGCACCACAACGGGUGGAGCUUGCGGUUUAAUUGGAUUCAACGCCGGAAAUCUUACCGGGACCGACAGCGAUAUGAAGGCCAGGCUGAAGACUUUGCCGGAUUAGCUGAGAGGUGGUGCAUGGCCGUCGUCAGUCCGUACUGUGAAGCAUCCUGUUAAGUCAGGCAACGAGCGAGACCCACGCCCACAGUUGCCAGCGUACUCUCCGGAGUGAUGGGUACACUGUGGGGACCGCCGCUGCUAAAGCGGAGGAAGGAAUGGGCAACGGUAGGUCAGUAUGCCCCGAAUAUCCCGGGCUACACGCGAGCUACAAUGGUUGGAACAAUGGGUAUCUACCCCGAAAGGGGAUGGAAAUCUCCUAAAUCCAAUCUUAGUUCGGAUUGAGGGCUGCAACUCGCCCUCAUGAAGCUGGAAUCCGUAGUAAUCGCGUUUCAACAGAACGCGGUGAAUACGUCCCUGCUCCUUGCACACACCGCCCGUCAAACCACCCGAGUAGGGUCUGAAUGAGAGCGCUUCCUAUGGAGGCGUUCGAAUUUGGGCUUUGCAAGGGGGGUU
rnacentral:rRNA from 1 species